ensembl:lncRNA
AAGACGAGAGUAACGAGAGAAGACGAGAGUAACAAGAGAAGACGAGAGUAACAUUAAGAAGACGAGAGUAACGAGAGAAGACGAGAAGACGAGAAAGACGAGAGUAACAUUAAGAAGACGAGAGUAACGAGAGAAAGAACGAGAAACGAUAGAAGACGAGUAACAUUAAGAAGACGAGAGUAACGAGAGAAGACGAGUAACGAGAGAAGACGAGAGUAACGACAGAAGACGAGAGUAACGACAGAAGACGAGAGUAACGAGAGAAGACGAGAGUAACAUUAAGAAAAAAAACGACUUAUCGGACAUUUUCAAUUAGUAUAAAUAAUUGAAUUAUUGUAUCACCGCAGUUCUGGUAUAAGAUUAGUCAGGACACUGGUGGCUUUCUGUGUGUGCAGUUUCAUGACUGUGUGUUUAACUGCUGGUGAGCAGGGGGGUGGGAAAGGGGGGGAGUUUGAGCUCCCUGCUGGGCAAACAAUUCACACCUCUCCACGAAAACACUGAGACGGCCAUAAAUCAGAGAGUAGGAGUAAAGCUUUUUUGACAGUAAAACACCGUAUACAACUGCCACAAUAAAAUUAUAACAUUUAAACCAAAGAUCGGUCUUGUGUAAACGUUUACAACCUUACAUUUCCUACAUAGACGAAAACCCAGUUCACUCGUGGUUUUAUAAAUCACGCAUAUUUCCAUCGGUAUAAAGUCCAUCAGCUUUAUUGAAGAAAACAAAUGCAAAGUUCCAUAUUUAGUCACAAAUGUCCUCUUCAAAAUGCAUUAAGUGUUUUGGUAUCACACCCCUCUGGAAUUUAGUAAGUAGCCAUAAACUGAACUGAGAGACAUUCUAAAAAAGCUAAUCUGCUUUGGCUAUGCUGAACAACCCGCCUCCUAAAUUAUAAUCGGGCAGUCUAACUUGAUUGACACCCACUUGGACCAAUUGUAGAUACUUCUAGCUUUCAAACAAGCCCAAACAUGACAUGACUGACCACUCAGAGGCUGAGAAAAUCAAACGCGUAAUCAGCACAGUGCUACAGGGCCGUGCAAACUAUCAGGGAAUGCCAGCUCCGCUCUAGUGGUCUUCCGGCAGAACUUUAUACAGCAGGGUUUCGCAUGUUGGGCAGUUUUUUUUCUCAUCGCUAAUUUUCUACGGGUUUAUCGGAGUCCUAUAGCGGCAGCGUGCUCCCGAAAAAGCCUGAAUGCAUCACAGCCUCUGGAGCAGUUAUUUCCGAGUGGCUAUUUUUUUUUUUUUUAGGAAGACUAUGUGGAUUGAGUUGAGGGGCUCUAUCUACCCCCCGAGAAGUCAGAGGAGAGGGGUCACUCGUGUGUCUAUCAUUUGAGUCAGUCGGAGAGCAAGUGCUCCUUCAAAUGGGGCUCUGGCACUAUUUUUAAUAAACAUUAUAUUUUAUAAGUAUGUUUCAGACUUUUGUGUGUGAAAUUACACACUGUGUUACAGAGUUCAUGCUACUGCCAUUUGGUGCCAUUUAGAGACGUUUUUUGUCAUUUGGAGAGGUUUUUACCUGUGUUUGGAUAACCUUACACACAAUUUUAGUGGUUAGAGAGAACUUCCUCAUAUUUUGGGUGUUCCUGGACAAGUACUUGGGGCAUCUUUGAGACCAGGAAUGGGGUUGAUAUCAACAUUUGCUGUGAAGAUAUAACAUUUGUGUUAAAAGUAAAUCUUUUUUUAUAAUUAAAAAAAAUAAAUAAAUUCUGAAUAUAUUGCCCCAGGUAGGCUAGGCAAAAGAAGAAAUACUUGAGAUAACUAUUAAUUCUUAAAUUCUUAAGUGUCUACUUUCAUAUGAGCCAUUAACCAACUGUGGUGUGUGAGAUCACAAAACAAAUCAGUGCUGAACACAGGGACCCCCAAAACACACACAAAUGCCAUUUUUUGGCUACCGGCAAAAGGGGUUAAGAAGACGAGAGUAACAUUAAGAGAAGAGAGUAGAAGCUAGAAGUAUCUACAAUUGGUCCAAGUGGGUGUCAAUCAAGUUAAUUUAAUAAUUUAGGAGGCGGGUUAUUCAGCAUAGCCAAAGCAGAUUAGCUUUUUUAGAUGGUGUCUCUGUUAGUAAUUAGUUUAUGGCUAAUUACUAAAUUCCAGAGGAGUUGGAUACCAAAACACUUAAUGCAUUUUGAAGAGGACAUUUGUGACUAAAUCUGGAACUUUGCAUUUGUUUUCUUCAAUAAAGCUGAUGGACUUUAUAGAC